CAGCACCUCAAGUGGUCAGGAUGAUUAUUGGGCCUAAAGCAUCCGUAGCCGGCGCUGUAAGUUUUCGGUUAAAUCUGUACGCUCAACGUACAGGCUGCCGGGAAUACUGCAGCGCUAGGGAGUGGGAGAGGUAGACGGUACUCGGUAGGAAGGGGUAAGAUCCUUUGAUCUAUUGAUGACCACCUGUGGCGAAGGCGGUCUACCAGAACACGUCCGACGGUGAGGGAUGAAAGCUGGGGGAGCAAACCGGAUUAGAGACCCGAGUAGUCC
rnacentral:rRNA from 1 species